rnacentral:rRNA from 1 species
AGCUCCAAUAGCGUAUAUUAAAGUUGUUGCAGUUAAAAAGCUCGUAGUUGAAUUUCUGUCAUAUGGCAGCUAGCUUGCCGGAAGGUACAGCCUGGUUGACAUUGAUAUCCUUCGGGAUGUGUCGGUUCUUUAAUGAAGCGGCAGUAUCCCGGACCGUUACUUUGAGAAAAUUAGAGUGUUUCAAGCAGGCAGAAGCCUUGAAUACUACAGCAUGGAAUAAUAAGAUAGGACUUUGGUUCUUUCUUGUUGGUUCGGAGAACUAAGGUAAUGAUUAACAGGGACAGUCGGGGGCAUUCGUAUUUAACUGUCAGAGGUGAAAUUCUUAGAUUUGUUAAAGACGAACUACUGCGAAAGCAUUUGCCAAGGAUGUUC